rnacentral:misc_RNA from 1 species
UUAAGUUCAGCGGGUAUUCCUACCUGAUCCGAGGUCAACUCUGAGAAAUUGGGGUGUUUUACGGCGUGGCCGCGCCGCGCUCCGCCAUGCGAGGUGGUAUGUUACUACGCAAGGGAGGCUGCGACGAGACCGCCAAUCAAUUUCGGGGGCGGCGGGCGCUGCAGGCAGCGCUGACGCCGGCACCCAACACCAAGCGGGGG